UGUUGAUACCGAAUGCCAGUGUAAUACUGUUUCCUGUAUAAGACCAAUGACAAUACUAGUACGACACACUAUUAUUGCAAUUUUCGGCAGUUGAUGUUAAUUCGAAUACGUAACGAACCUAAACUACAUAGGAAGAUUGUCUCAAGAACUUCUGUGAGAUGCAUCUCAGAGCGAGCAUAAGACACCUGCAACAAGUCAUCGCUUGUUCAGCAAUGCUAUUCCUAGCCAAUUUGACCUUUCUGCAGCUGUGUAAUGACUUAUUUGUGAACAAACAAUGAGAAAAUUGAAUUCUAAAGAAUAAAUAUGGUAUUUAUAUAGUGUGUCCAGUGAAAUGUCUUCCAAAACUCUGGGUGGUUAUUCAUUGGCUUAUUUUGAGUGAAAAAUUUUAUAUCAACAUGGGCUGAAAUCUCAUUGGUUAUGUAAUUAUCUGAUAAAUCUGUUACCAUUAUCCUUUGAUCAUUGCAUCCCACACAGUCUUAUUGACAAUCAACUAAAUGGGUCAUUCGUUCUUCAACAAACAUGGCUACAACAUGAUGGCACACUACCUUAUCUACAAGUCACAUAGUAGUUGAAUCUGUGCUAUGAAUACCACUGGAUUGUUUGUUGAGGUCCACGUGCCUGGCAACCUUGUUCACCAGUCUUAACACACCUUGAUUUCUACUUGUGGGUGAACAUAAAAAACUUGGAAAAUCAAGAGAAAUCAUAGACACAAACUCUCACAGUGCAUCAUUGACAGUAACAGACAAAGAUAUCAAUCAUGAAAGCUUACAGAAAGCUACACAUACCAUUUUAAAAUAAGCCUGCUUGUGAAUGCCAGUUCAGAAGGUUAUUUCAAAUGGCAAGAUACUUUAUAUACAUUACAUCACAUCACAGACAUUAACAAUACACUCAUCAUGGAUGAGCAGAGUUUGUUGACCCCUGUAUAUGUUUUGUGUCUAUAUAUGAUUUAUACAAAGCCUGCAAAGAUGGUUAUUCUUGUGUUAGAUGCUAUACCCCUACAACUGUACUUGAGGGUGAAUGGAAAAUAAACAAAUUUUAUCUCACAA